UACGGAGGAUCCGAGCGUUAUCCGGAUUUAUUGGGUUUAAAGGGUGCGCAGGCGGGGGAUUAAGUCGGCGGUGAAAUUUUGCGGCUCAACCGUAAAAGUGCCUUCGAUACUGGUGGUCUUGAGUGUAGAUGAGGUGGGUGGAAUUCGUGGUGUAGCGGUGAAAUGCUUAGAUAUCACGAAGAACUCCAAUUGCGUAGGCAGCUCACUGGGCUACAACUGACGCUGAGGCACGAAGGUGCGGGGAUCAAACAGGAUUAGAUACCCCCGUAGUCCCU
rnacentral:rRNA from 1 species